UUUCCAUCUCACAAAUCGACUCAGGCAGGCUGUUCUAGAUCAACUCAUACAAACUUUGUUAGAGACACUUGACAACAGUUAUGCUAAAACAUCCUGAGAUAUAUUGCAUGGCCUGGCAGCCCAAAGCCUGGACCCUGGGACAACUGUACCUGGUGGUCGCCUGCCGAUGACAUCACCUGGUCUUGGGUGUGGAAGCCUCCAACAACCGAAGACAACAGACACCAUGGUCACUAUUGACCCCAACCAUGCUGUGCCCACUGACCACCAGAGGAGGCUGGUAAGGUGAGAAUAAUAAGGGCUGGAAUGAAGUGAGUGGAAAUGUACCUGUGUGUUUGAUGUGUUUGAUACCAUUCUAUUCAUUUUAUUCCAGCCAUUUUUAUGAGCCUGUCCUCCAUGCCACCAGCCACCACUGCUGACCACAUACCAGAGACCAGACAAACAGUCUAACUGGCAACCCACGGAUACAUUAGUCUGGUCCCAGAUCUGUGCGUGCUUUAGCCAACUCCUUUAGAUAUACAUGACAUGACAAUGACAGUCAGAAGAGUUGGUUUAAACAGAUCUGAAUCAGGAAAAUAAGAGUUGGUUUGAACAGAUCUGAAUCAGGAAACUAAGAGUUGGUUUAAACAGAUCUGAAUCAGGAAAAUAAGAGUUGGUUUGAACAGAUCUGAAUCAGUACACUAAGAGUUGGUUGAAACAGAUCUGAAUCAGGAAACUAAGAGUUGGUUUAAACAGAUCUGAAUCAGGAAAAUAAGAGUUGGUUUGAACAGAUCUGAAUCAGGAAACUAAGAGUUGGUUUAAACAGAUCUGAAUCAGGAAAAUAAGAGUUGGUUUGAACAGAUCUGAAUCAGUACACUAAGAGUUGGUUGAAACAUGUCUGAAUCAGGAAACUAAGAGUUGGUUUAAACAGAUCUGAAUCAGGAAAAUAAGAGUUGGUUUAAACAGAUCUGAAUCAGGACACUAAGAGUUGGUUUAAACAGAUCUGAAUCAGGAAACUAAGAGUUGGUUGAAACAGAUCUGAAUCAGGACACUAAGAGUUGGUUUAAACAGAUCUGAAUCAGGAAACUAAGAGUUGGUUGAAACAGAUCUGAAUCAGGACACUAAGAGUUGGUUUAAACAGAUCUGAAUCAGGAAACUAAGAGUUGGUUGAAACAGAUCUGAAUCAGGAAAAUAAGAGUUGGUUUAAAUAGAUCUGAAUCAGGACACUAAGAGUUGGUUUGAACAGAUCUGAAUCAGGACACUAAGAGUUGGUUUGAACAGAUCUGAAUCAGGACACUAAGAGUUGGUUUAAACAGAUCUGAAUCAGGACACUAAGAGUUGGUUUGAGGGUGUCAAUAAUUUGGGACCCCACUGUAUACUUCAAAGUUAGAGAUAUGUUGAAACUGGAUCCAUCAUAAUGAUUCUAUAUGUUAUAAUCUGCCAUGGCCUUUACUGGCCAAAGGUUAAACUACUGUUAUGUUUAUGAUAUACUAUGGUGUUUUAUCACUAGACUUUGACCAGAUAUUAUUGCAUCCAAAGAGCAACUGUACCUAAAACAUAGAUACAGAGCCACUUGUCAUCAGGAAGGUGCUCCCUCAGCACAACGGACAAUAUCUCAAUGACUUGACAUGUUCUGGUUGUGAAUUCAGGCUACAAGUUGUCAGUGCUCUGAAAUGAGUCUCUCUGGGGACAGAGAGGAGGGGGGCCCUGCCUCUAAAAUGAGUCUCUCUGGGGAACAUGACACCAAGGCUAAGAGCCCAAUCAAGCAGGAGAGACCAGCCUCCCCUGUACCCAGCUGUGUGUCCAUGAAGAGUGACCAGUCUAUGGAGCUACCUAUACUCUUUAGAGAGGGAGACUUUUCUACUGAACAAAG